UCGAGAAUAAUUCGCAAUGGGCGAAAGCCUGACGAUGCGACGCCGUGUGAACGAAGAAGGCCUUCGGGUUGUAAAGUUCUGUCGUUUUGGAACAAGUACGACGUGUAAAUAAUGCGUUGUAUUGAUGGUACAAGAAAAGGAAGCACCGGCUAACUCCGUGCCAGCAGCUGCGGUAAUACGGAGGGUGCAAGCGUUAGUCGGAAUUACUGGGCGUAAAGGGUGCGUAGGCGGAUAGACAAGUCAGUGGUGAAAUUCCGGAGCUUAACUUCGGAGCUGCCACUGAAACUGUGAAUCUAGAGGAAUAGCGGGGAAAACGGAAUUCCAUGUGUAGCGGUGAAAUGCGUAGAUAUAUGGAAGAACACCUGUGGCGUAGGCGGUUUUCCAGCUACAUCCUGACGCUGAGGCACGAAAGCAAGGGGAGCAAACAGG
rnacentral:rRNA from 1 species